CAUUGUAGUCACCGUCUCAGUCAAACCACAAAUCUUUCAAUGGUGAACCCACAAACCACUGUCUCCUUCACAACCAUAUCUUCAACAAGCAAGGCCAAUAAUCUUCGGUAUUUCGUUUAAUUGGAGGCAAAAGAUCAGAAGAAGCUCUCAUGGACCUAAUUCAGACCCGAGCCCUUCACCAUCAAGGACUACUACGAGGUGUUUGUAGAAAUGCCCAAGUGGAAAUGGUUGAAAUUUGCAGAGAAGUUGGGGUAUGCCUAUUAGGUGUUUGCAGAAAUGUCUAAGCGAAGCACUUGAAAUUGGAUUAGUUUUCACUAUUGAAACGGCUCUAUUUUCCUCUCAAAGUCACAUCUUUGAGUUUACUUGUAUGAUAAAAACUAAUACUGAUGUAGUAUGCAUGAAAUGGUCAGUGAUGUUGUAUUGGUGAAUUUGAACUUGACACAUGAUGAUGAAGAUUGGAAUUGAACCUCAAAUUGAAAUAAGGUGUUCCUUUUUGUAGGUUAUUGAGGAUUCAAUUGCGUUCUCAUUUGGGUUGGCACCUAUACUUGCCAUUUGCUGGGCUUGAAUCUCCUGGAGGUAAUGGAACUACAGCUGCCAUCCUUUUUUGACAAUUUUGAUCUCUGGGCUGCUGCUGCUAAUGUCCAUCAAGUCGAACUAAUCCAACUGCGUAAUAUGGUGGUGGAUAUAUCCAUCCCUAAUAAGAAUCUGGACCUGAGACUGAUGUUAAACAUGAAGAGAGUCUUAACAACUCAGACUUUGCACCCAAGCAAGAUUAUCCUAAUAAUUCUAGAGCUGUAAUUGCAAAACCUGCUGAUGAAGAUGAAGAAUUUGCUCGUAUGAUGGCCAGGAUGGAUGAACUUGAGAAAGAAGAACGUGAAGCUGAAUGUCAGAUGGCACAAAGUGAUGAGGAUGAGCAACUUCAGCAUGGUUUGCAUCAGCUUUCUGAUCAGAAAUCUCUCCAUGGGAAUCUCAAAAUUUCCGAGGUUGAGAUGCAAGAGAAGUUGGCAAAAACGGUUGCAGUUUAAAGGCAAAAAGACUUUGGACUAACAUGAUUGCUUAUAUGGGAUGCAGGUGUCUUGAAGCUCAGUUUAGAAAUUAGCUAAUUUGUAUCCAAGUAUAUUUGAUACUUGACGAAUUUGUAUUCUGUUUUAUAACAAGUAAUCCAAGGAUCUGUUCUCAACAGUUUAUUUUUAUA